rnacentral:misc_RNA from 1 species
UACGGAGGGGGCAAGCGUUAUUCGGAUUUACUGGGCGUAAAGGGUGCGUAGGCGGCCGCGCAAGUCUGAUGUGAAAUCUUCACCGCUCGACGGGAAGAGGUCAUUGGAUACUGCGUGGCUUGAAUGUGGUAGAGGCAAGCGGAAUUCCUGGUGUAGCGGUGGAAUGUGCAGAUAUCAGGAAGAACACCUGUGGCGAAGGCGGCUUGCUGGGCCAUUAUUGACGCUGAGGCACGAAAGCGUGGGGAGCGAACGGG